UACUGACCACACCUCACUGCAAUGUUCCUUGGGUUGAAUUAAUGCCGUUUGUUUAGCACUUUCCCUCAAACUCUUGUUUCCCUCUGCAGUAGACCUCCCUAUGUGAGGUCCCCAGCCCUCCACACCUCUUCUGGACCCAGUCCCCUGCCCCCUCUCCCCACCACACCCACCCCUCCUCCUCCUCUCCAGCCUCCACACCCCAACUACAACACCCCUCAUUCUCAGCAACACGGACAGGGCAGCUACCCAGGCCCUGGCAUAAACCAGAUUGUGCCCCCCAUCAACCAGUCACAGGGCAACAACUCAGGCAUGGGCACGCCACAGGGUCCACCCUACAAUAUGCCACCCUCAGGGCCCAUCGGGAUGGCUGGGGAUGGGAUGGUGACUCCUGUUGGGAAGCAGAAAAUGGAUGGCAAGGAGGAGAGCAUGCCCACCAAUGAACCUCCCAGACCCAAGGAUGGCUACAGUGGAUCCCAGUGUGUCUCCCAGCCCACCACCCCUGGUGCCAUGCCUGUCCCCUCUCCCCUGUCCCCCAGCCCAGCCAGCCUGUCCUCCUACCAUGGGGAUGACAGUGACAGCAUCAGCAGCCCCGUCUGGCCAAAGACUCCCUCCAGCCCUGUAUGUGACACUCUUCCUUUACAUUCCAACCAAUAUCUUCCAGUGUUUUAUUUGUUGUUGUUUUUUUAUCUUCAGUAUGAUGACUGAUGUGAGUAGUUGUGCCAGUUUGCAAGGUUGGAGCUAAUUCCAUAUAUCUCUCCAUCUCUUCCGAACUCAGAAGCCCAACUCGUCCACCAUGACUAACGAGCAAAUCACACGUCUGUAUGAUAUGGGUGGGGAGCCGGAGAGGCGUGGCUGGGUGGACCGUUACCUGUCCUUUAUGGAGGAGAGGGGUACACCUGUUCCCCACCUCCCUGCAGUGGGCAAGAAGCCCCUGGACCUCUACAGACUGUACAUGGUGGUCAAGGAGAUAGGGGGCCUGGCCAUGGUGAGAGACAACCACUGAGUUCAUUUCAUUGUGUCUUACAGGACUGAUAGACACUGCGAAGUGUUUUUCUCGUGUAUUGCAGGACAGAAAUAAUGUUGCGCUAUACAC
ensembl:lncRNA